GGAAUUCUCUCUGGAGUCAUAUCUUCAACCAUUGCUAAUCCAACUGAUGUUUUGAAAAUUCGGAUGCAAGCGCAAAGCAACACCAUUCAAGGAGGAAUGAUAGGCAACUUCAUGAACAUUUACCAGCAAGAGGGGACAAGAGGACUGUGGAAGGGUGUGUCCCUUACUGCGCAGAGGGCUGCUAUUGUUGUUGGUGUGGAGCUGCCGGUCUAUGACAUCACCAAGAAGCAUCUUAUUCUCUCGGGCCUGAUGGGAGACACUGUGUAUACUCACUUCCUCUCAAGCUUCACCUGUGGUCUGGCAGGGGCCCUGGCCUCAAACCCUGUUGAUGUUGUGAGGACACGUAUGAUGAAUCAGAGAGUCCUUCGAGAUGGCAGAUGCUCUGGCUACACAGGAACCCUGGAUUGCUUGUUACAGGUAAGAGCAAAUGUCUGUCUCUGCAGGGUUGUGAAUUAUAUAUAUUUUUAAUCUAAGAAGUAACUAAAUUAUGAAAGCUACUAAAACUAAGAUGAAUGAUGCUUUAAAGCCCUGAGAUGUACAUAUGGGAGACCAUUUUUGCCACACUAUGCUUAACUUUUAUAAAUACAAUGUUGUUUUCUUUAUACCUCCAUUCUGCUGUGAAAGGUGAGGAAAUAUUUCCUGUGAUUAUAAAAGAACUGGGUCUCCUUCCAAAAUGUACUUUCUUCCUGUUGAGUCAAACUAGUAUGAAUAUCCCUCAUUCAGACAUCUCUGUUAAAGGAACACAUCAAUCUUACUUUAAUUCUCAGUUUAAAUAAUUGGGCCUACUGUUUUAUGAGUAGGUGAAAGUUUUCACCUGUCUCUGCCACUAGAUUGCCAGUAGUCAGAUUAGGAGCCACUUUUUUUUUUUUUUUUUAAGGUGAUAUUUAUUUAUUUACUUAUUUUCAAGUUUUAAUGUAUUUUAGAUUCGGGGGGUACAUGUGCAGGUUUGUUACAUAGGCACAUGCGUAGUGGUGGAGAUUGGGCUUCUAAUGUACCCAUUACCCAAAUAGUGAGCAUUACACCAGAUAGAUAAUUUUUCAACUCUAGCCUCUCCCCUUUAGGAGUCCCCAGUGUCUGUUAUUUCUAUCUUUAUGUCCGUGUGUACCCAUUGUUUAGCUCCCACUUAAAAGUGAGAACAUGUGGUUUUUGAUUUUCUGUUUCUGUGUUAGUUUGCUCAGGAUAAUGGCCUCUAGCUCCAUCCAUGUUGCUGCAAAGAAUGUGAUUUCUUUUUUAUGGCUACAGGGGCCACUUUUGUGGUUCCUGUUUUCCGACAUGACACUAGCACAUUUUACGCUUCAGGUGUUGCCUUAAUGAAGCAAAGACACUUAUCGUAUUCAUCUACCUGACAACUUGGGAAAUAGUGGUACUCUGAAUGAUAUCUCUACCACUAUUGCUUCUUUAUUUGUGACCUGUUCAGGAGCCCACAUGGCACGGAAGCAAAAGACCCUAACUGGAAUUAAAUCUAAUUUUUUACUCAUUCAACACUGUUUAUGUCCUUUGUGUGGAGUUCAUUCAAUCCUUUAUGUGGGGUUGUUGGGCAUGGAGCCUUAGUCUUCCACCCACACAGAAGCCUCUGAAGAGCAAAGAUUUCUUAGGCAGUCCUUCCAAACAGGAUUUUAUUUUUAAGAAAAAUAAAUCAGUCUGGCCACUAAUUAUUAUUAUUAUUAUUAUUUUUUGAGACGGAGUCUCUCUUUCUCGCCCAGGCUGGAGUGCAGUGGCAUGAUCUUGGCUCACUGCAAGCUCUGCCUCCCGGGUUCAUGCCAUUCUCCUGCCUCAGCCUCCCGAGUAGCUGGGACUACAGGCGCCCGCCACCAUGCCCGGCUAAUUUUUUUUUUGUAUUUUUAGUAGAGACAGGGUUUCACUGCAUUAGCCAGGAUGGUCUGGAUCUCCUGACCUGGUGAUCCGCCCGCCUUGGCCUCCCAAAGUGCUGGGAUUAAAGGCGUGAGCCACCGCACCCUAAUUAUUAAUGCAUUUGGCAUAAUUAGAAACUUGGAAGUUAACUUUUUUUUCUUCUUUUAACAGACAUGGAAGAAUGAAGGGUUUUUUGCUCUCUAUAAAGGCUUUUGGCCAAACUGGUUGAGACUUGGUCCUUGGAAUAUCAUUGUAUCCUUUUCUGUUGCAAUAGAUCUGAAAAAAGAUAUAGCUAAAGAAUACUAUUUGUAUAAACUCUCAUGUUAUUAAUUAUAAUUUAGAAGUAGGUUCUGAUUAUUUUGAGUUCCUCUGAUGCUAAGAAGUCACUACUUUGUUUCUUUUUUAGGAAGUGUAAAGUCUCUGUGCUAGACACUGAAUCUUGCUUUGAUGGUGGUAUUAUUCAAAAGUAAUGAUACUACUAAAAAGGUUUAGUUAGAGUCUGUUCUAGAAGCUGAGGGUAUUUAUGAUUUCAGAGAGAGAGAGAGGAGGAUUGGCUUUAUAGCCCUAGCCACCUAGGGAAGGAUGUGGUUGGCAACAGUGUCUUAGAAUGCUUAUCUUAGAAAGUGCCUGAAGAUAAACAGGAAUUAGCUCCGGAAUUGUUUGUCAGGCUAGCACGCUUCCUAUGUGCCACAGUGGGAGGCAGGAAAGGAAAGGCAGUUAACUUUUUUUUUGUUUUUGAGACUGAGUCUUUACUCUGUCGCCCAGGCUGGAGUACAGUGGCGUGAUCUCGGGUCACUGCCACCUCCGCCUCCUGGGUUCUAGCAAUUCUCUUGCCUCGGCCUCCUGAGUAGCUGGGAUUACAGGCACAUACGACCACGCCUGGCUAAUUUUUGUAUUUUUAGUAGAGAUGGGGUUUCACCAUGUCAGCCAGGCUGGUCUCAAACUCCUGACCUCAAGUGACAUGCCCCUUGGCCUCCCAAAGUGCUGGGAUUACAGGCGUAAGCCACUGUGCCCGUGAGGCAGUUAAUUAGACACUGAAGGGCAGAGUGAUGAAGCAGGAAUGCUGGCUUUUGCUGUCCUCUUGUUGGUCUUCAUCGGCUCCUGCCUCCCAAGGAAGGAUGCAUAGUGGAAGCCUUUGAGGAGAGCUUCCCAGGGCUUGCUAACUGUCUCUCUCUUUCUCUCAAAAGUUUACUGUGCUGGAAAGUUUUUCCACCACAGCAAAGCCACAAAAGCUAAUCAGUGUAGAUGCCAUCUCAGAAGAGGCAUAUCUCAGCUGUGAUCUUUCUGUUCCAAGUUGACCCUGGAAGGCUUAUGGGCAGAAAGUUUGACGUGGUUAAGGAUGGAACCCCUUUUGUUUAAUCAUGUCUAUAGCCUGGGUCUGCCUGUACCUAUUUCUUAUUAAGUGUGCCAUUUGUAAGUCCGUUGUUAUGCACUGGAGUUGUGAAGAUGGCAUUUUCUGUGUCAUCCUUAACCUAUAACCACAGUUCUUUGUGACAUACGAGCAGUUGAAGAAAUUGGAUUUGUGACAAGUCAAGGCUGCAUGAGACAUCUUUCUGAAAAUGGUAACUUCUGAAACAGCAAAGCUUCCUGUGUUUCACUCUGCUUCUCACUGCUUGGCUCAUCACAGAUUCUGGGAUGUGAGCAACAGAUGAAGACUGGGUUAGUUGAGAUUGCUGUGUCUUGGCAUUGGAUGUUCUUCAUCAAACGUUUAAUGGCAUAAACUAACAUCCAAACACUAGUCUUUACCAUUGAAGCGCCCUUCAACAUCAAAGAUAAUAUAUGAAAUGCAUGUUUCUUGCUAAAGAAAACUUGCAAGAAAAUCAGGAGCGAUGUAUUGUUUUAUUCAGGGAGAGUAGCUCCUGAUGCAUCUCAGCUCAUGACUGAGAACAUCAGACUGCUCUAGAAAAGCUCAUUGGAACCAUGGAAUGGAGCCUCCGAGAAGGUAUUAUGGUUUCUGAAUUUCUGGGAGCUUUUGCUCCUUGUCAACUGAAGAAAUUUCAUGUAUGGAGACCUGGACUGUUCAACCCCAGGUAUAAACGGUGCAGGAAAUGGAUCCUAGGAAUAUCGCACUGCUUUAUAAUUUCCUAUUUUGGCAGGAUCUUCCACUUAUAAUAAGUGAUUUUAAGCUUUGAAGACUUGACAUUUGUGAGAAAUUGUUACAAAGUAAUAAUCUCUAAAUUUGUGGUGGUGUUAUGUGUUGGCUUUGAAGGUUGCAAGGUCUGUAUUGUUGGGGGGUGUUUUCAAGCAGCUUAGGUUCUGUCUUAGGUCAUGUUAGUAAUUAGCUUUAUGAUUUUUAGCAAAGCAUAUAUAUUUCCCAAUGUGUAAAAUCGGGAUAAUAACAUCUAUUGAUGUAGAGGGUCAAAUGAAGAACAAAUAGUAGCUGCUGCUACUUGACUGGAAAGGUAAAUGUGUUUAUGUCAUGCUGUGGAACAGCUCUAAACAGUCUAUGUAGAAGAAGGGCAUGUUAUCAUGGGCUUCUCAUGGUAAUUGUGAAUGAAGCCCUUUGUUAAGGUCUUGUUGAAGAAAGAAUACUGUAUAAGUUCAGGCUUUAGUACAUUUUCCUUAGCAAAAUGUUGGUAGUGAAUCAAAGAGUUGAUUUUUCCAGGUUUCCAAUUUUUACUUUAGUUUAUGUUGUGCCUGUCUUGGACUUCCUGUUUAGUUUGGAUGGAAAAUAUCUGCUUGAAAUUUUAAAAAUGAUUUCUUUAGUGCAUCUAUUUAGCUAGUUUCUGAUAGGUGGUAUGUAAUAUUUUCCCUUUUUGUUUCCUUCUAUAGACACAAUAAGUCAUUCUCCCUCUUCUUUUUUUCUUUUUCUAUUUUCUUAUUCUUUACUCUAACCUGCUUCAGAGGAAGAGCCCUCUUCCUUCUUGUCUUCAUCUUAGUCUUUUCAAAAUAAAAGAUGACUGUGAGAACCCCAAGAACUUCCACUUCUGGGAGGCAGCCACAGGACAGGGAACAUAUUUAUUUGGGUCCCUUCAGUUCCCCCUUUGAGAACAACAUUAAAUACAUGCUAGCUGGGGCUCCAGGGCAUUCUCCUUCCACAGUAGUGCGGCCAGAUUCCCAGUUUGGCCAGUCUCUUUGUUGAGACAGAAUAGAAGGACUGCAGGGUUUUUUGGAGGAUCAGAUAAUUUUUCCUCCCAUGCAUUUUUCCCUUGCCUUCCUUAUGAAUGAAUGGUCCCUUUGAAUAUUAUUUCCAAAAGUGCGAGCUAAGACAAAGUCAUCAAAAAGAGAGGAUAAAAGAAGGUGGGGUGGGGGGGGGGGUGCAGUGGGGUAGGGUUACCUGUUAAUUGCUUAGACUCAGAUGAAAGUCCAGCUCUCCCUGGGCAACCGUAGAGGGCAGCAGAGGACCCCAGAGCUCAUUCAGGCCUUGCUGCUUGUUCUAAACUACACCUCAGGAUUUUUUCUUCUUUCCAAAACAUUCCAUUGAUUUUAUAAAGACUUUCUAUAGAGAGGCUUUCACUUUUGAGUUCUUUGAGUUUAAAGAUUGCUUUUCUUCAAACACUCUUUUUUUUAAUGUAGAAAAAUUUUAGUUUUUCAAAUGUGCAUACAGUUUUUAAAACAGUAGAAGCAAAUUCAUUUUAAUGACCGUGUAAAGAGCGAAUGUCAGACAGUAUUCAUUAUUACCAGUUUGUUCAAAUUGCAUACAUGUUCCUACCAAGGUGGAAAGAAAUUCAAACCUCAUGGUAAAACUUAAGCACGAUUUAAGAUAAAAGCAUAGUAUUUCUUCAGUGUAGACUUAUUAAGUGCCUUAUUGAACAGGAUCUUAACCUGCUUUUUCUGUUUUUUUUAAAGAGUUAAUGCAAUUGUUGAAGCUUCUAACCAAGAAACAACUUAAGGAAUUGGGAGACUUGGUCCCCUUGUUUUCAGGGGUCUGGCUAUAAGUCCCUACCCACCUUUGGGUGUUCUUAAAUAUGCCAAAAGGAAUUCUAGUUUUUAUAACCAAUGGGAUUUUUUGUUUGUGUGCUUAUGGAUUUGUGUAAUCAUUGAUGCUUAAUUUUGUGGAUUCGUAAUAUAAAAAGUGGCUCCUGUCCUUUAUAUUUAUUCAUGUGCUAGAAAUAGUAUGCAUUAUAUAAAGAGUAUGAAGUUUUCAUAAGCCUUUAUAUUUCAAGCUCUUUAUUUAAACAUUGUUGGAAUAUGUGGCAUAAGCCUUGUUUCAUUUAUUUAAUAAACUGGAGUAAUAUAUAAUAAUAAAAA
rnacentral:sRNA from 1 species